AGAGUUUGAUCCUGGCUUAGAACUAACGCUGGCAGUGCGUCUUAAGCAUGCAAGUCAAACGGAAUGUAGCAAUACAUUCAGUGGCGAACGGGUGAGUAACGCGUGGAUAAUCUACCUACGAGAUGGGGAUAACUAUUAGAAAUAGUAGCUAAUACCGAAUAAAGUCAAUUGAGAUGUUAAUUGAUGAAAGGAAGCCUUUAAAGCUUCGCUUGUAAAUGAGUCUGCGUCUUAUUAGCUAGUUGGUAGGGUAAGAGCCUACCAAGGCUAUGAUAAGUAACCGGCCUGAGAGGGUGAUCGGUCACACUGGAACUGAGAUACGGUCCAGACUCCUACGGGAGGCAGCAGCUAAGAAUCUUCCGCAAUGGGCGAAAGCCUGACGGAGCGACACUGCGUGAACGAAGAAGGUCGAAAGAUUGUAAAGUUCUUUUAUAAAUGAGGAAUAAGCUUUGUAGGAAAUGACUAAGUGAUGACGUUAGUUUAUGAAUAAGCCCCGGCUAAUUACGUGCCAGCAGCCGCGGUAAUACGUAAGGGGCGAGCGUUGUUCGGGAUCAUUGGGCGUAAAGGGUGAGUAGGCGGAUAUGUAAGUCUAUGUGUAAAAUACCACAGCUCAACUGUGGAACUAUGCUAGAAACUGCAUGACUAGAGUCUGAUAGGGGAAGUUAGAAUUCCUGGUGUAAGGGUGGAAUCUGUUGAUAUCAGGAAGAAUACCAGAGGCGAAGGCGAACUUCUAGGUCAAGACUGACGCUGAGUCACGAAAGCGUAGGGAGCAAACAGGAUUAGAUACCCUGGUAGUCUACGCUGUAAACGAUGCACACUUGGUGUUAAUCGAAAGGUUAGUACCGAAGCUAACGUGUUAAGUGUGCCGCCUGGGGAGUAUGCUCGCAAGAGUGAAACUCAAAGGAAUURAACCACAUGCUCCACCGCUUGUGCGG
rnacentral:rRNA from 1 species